CCUACGGGUGGCUGCAGUCGGGAAUAUUGCGCAAUGGAGGAAACUCUGACGCAGUGACGCCGCGUGCAGGAAGUAGGUUUUCGGAUUGUAAACUGCUUUAGACAGGGAAGAAAAAGGACAGUACCUGUAGAAUAAGCUCCGGCUAACUACGUGCCAGCAGCCGCGGUAAUACGUAGGGAGCAAGCGUUAUCCGGAUUUAUUGGGUGUAAAGGGUGCGUAGACGGGAAAUUAAGUUAGUUGUGAAAUCCCUCGGCUCAACUGAGGAACUGCAACUAAAACUGAUUUUCUUGAGUGCUGGAGAGGAAAGUGGAAUUCCUAGUGUAGCGGUGAAAUGCGUAGAUAUUAGGAGGAACACCAGUGGCGAAGGCGACUUUCUGGACAGUAACUGACGUUGAGGCACGAAAGUGUGGGGAGCAAACAGGAUUAGAUACCCGAGUAGUC
rnacentral:rRNA from 1 species